rnacentral:snRNA from 1 species
GUCCCUUCGAGGAUAUCCGAUAAAAUUUGAACGAUAUAUAGAAGAUUAACAUAAUUUUAGCGCAAAGAUAACACCCACAAAUCAAAACGAUACAGAGAUUAACUUGACCUCUACGCAAGGAUGGCAUGCACAAAUCGAGAAAUGAUAACUUUUUUA